AUAAGUAAACUGAUUCUGACAGGUAAAAAUGAUCAAAGGCUAUGCCGUCUAGCGUCAGAAAGAAGAAACGUUUAAAAGUAAACAUGAAAAAAUGUCUGCUGUAGCUCGGUGACACUCAAUUUAAAGAACUGACAAACAAAGGUUACAAUGGCCAUUGAUAAUUGGAGAGCAGCAUUGGAAUGUGACAGGUUGUCUAGGCUAAAAGCCCUAGGGAAACUUCGUCUGCUCCUAAGUUACACAGUACACAACUACACAUCAUAAGUUACUUUACAAAAUAAAAACAAAUUCAGAUUAGGAUUUCAAGAAGAUUUCAGCUGAAGUUGACCUAGGUGCAGCCUUAGAGCUUGUGUAAACAGAGAUCAAAUGGACAAUCCAAUAAUGCAAGCUGUCUUCCCUAAACUAAAUGGUCUGCAUUUGCAAGAAAAUUGCAUGACAACAUUGAAAGAUUGUGGUGAGUUGAUUUUGAUUAAGUUUAAAUUUAGGGAAAUGUAAGAUUGAUAGAU
rnacentral:lncRNA from 1 species